CUCUGAAAUAAUACCACAAGUUUCCAUACCAUGAAGGGAUGGUUAGUAUUGACUUUGGGGGGUUAUUGCUGAAAAUGUUGUGGAAUUAGGGGGUGAAAGGGCAAAAAAAAAGGGGGAAAAACUAGGUUUUUCUGGUCAAUGGACAAUUAAGACAAUUUAAAAAAGCAGUGUAAGGGAGGUAACUCAAGAACAUUUAACAUACAAUGUUGGGUAUGUUCAGAUUUACCUUCCUUACGCUACUUGUAAAUUAUGUAUAAAGAAAUGUCAGGUUUUAGACUAAUUGCCAAAAAAAGGGGG
rnacentral:lncRNA from 1 species